rnacentral:rRNA from 1 species
UACGGAGGGUCCAAGCGUUAUCCGGAAUCAUUGGGUUUAAAGGGUCCGUAGGCGGGCCAGUAAGUCAGUGGUGAAAUCUCCCGGCUCAACCGGGAAAUUGCCAUUGAUACUGCUGGUCUUGAAUUACCAGGAAGUAACUAGAAUAUGUAGUGUAGCGGUGAAAUGCUUAGAGAUUACAUGGAAUACCAAUUGCGAAGGCAGGUUACUACUGGUGGAUUGACGCUGAUGGACGAAAGCGUGGGUAGCGAACAGG